rnacentral:rRNA from 1 species
CAUGGCUCAGAUUGAACGCUGGCGGCAUGCUUUACACAUGCAAGUCGGACGGCAGCACAGAGAAGCUUGCUUCUUGGGUGGCGAGUGGCGAACGGGUGAGUAAUGUAUUGGAACGUACCGAGUAAUGGGGGAUAACUAAUCGAAAGAUUAGCUAAUACCGCAUACGUCCUGAGGGAGAAAGCGGGGGAUCUUCGGACCUCGCGUUAUUCGAGCGGCCAAUAUCUGAUUAGCUAGUUGGUGGGGUAAAGGCCUACCAAGGCGACGAUCUGUAGCUGGUCUGAGAGGACGACCAGCCACACUGGGACUGAGACACGGCCCAGACUCCUACGG